CACGCAGGCGGUUAUAUAAGCUAGAUGUGAAAGCCCCGGGCUCAACCUGGGACGGUCAUUUAGAACUGUAUAACUAGAGUCUUGGAGAGGGGAGUGGAAUUCCAGGUGUAGCGGUGAAAUGCGUAGAUAUCUGGAGGAACAUCAGUGGCGAAGGCGGCUCCCUGGCCAAAGACUGACGCUCAUGUGCGAAAGUGUGGGUAGCGAACA
rnacentral:rRNA from 1 species